rnacentral:rRNA from 1 species
GACGAACGCUGGCGGCGUGCUUAACGCAUGCAAGUCGAACGGAAAGGCCCUGCUUUUGUGGGGUGCUCGAGUGGCGAACGGGUGAGUAACACGUGAGUAACCUGCCCUUGACUUUGGGAUAACUUCAGGAAACUGGGGCUAAUACCGGAUAGGAGCUCCUGCUGCAUGGUGGGGGUUGGAAAGUUUCGGCGGUUGGGGAUGGACUCGCGGCUUAUCAGCUUGUUGGUGGGGUAGUGGCUUACCAAGGCUUUGACGGGUAGCCGGCCUGAGAGGGUGACCGGCCACAUUGGGACUGAGAUACGGCCCAGACUCCUACGGGAGGCAGCAGUGGGGAAUAUUGCACAAUGGGCGGAAGCCUGAUGCAGCAACGCCGCGUGCGGGAUGACGGCCUUCGGGUGGUAAACCGCUUUCGCCUGUGACGAAGCGUGAGUGACGGUAAUGGGUAAAGAAGCACCGGCUAACUACGU